GGUCGUCUGGCGAAAUGGUAGCCGCGAAUGACUCAAAAUCAUUUGUGUUGUACACGUACAAGUUCAACUCUUGUGACGACCACCACCAC
rnacentral:tRNA from 1 species